UAGACAUUGGAGGAUGCCUUAUUACUUAGCCGCGUGAUGUUAUUAAGGAAAUACCUUACAAGAACCAGAGGGUGUGGAACCAGAUUGCUUUUAACCUUUCCAGUUUCCAUGGAACUCUGCCCAUGGACAUGGAUGAUGAAAUGUAAUAUUUGCAUGGAUAAAACCUUGCCGGAAGAAAGUGUUGAUAUGUGGGGAUAAUCAGCAGCCAGCUUCUAAGGGCAGAGAAUCAAGAAAAGGGGGAUUGGAGAACCCUGCCAAAAGAUAAAACUUGGGCAGGGUUGGCACAUAGUAGUUUUGUGACGAGGGAGGAAGGUACAAGAGCUUGUCAAUGUCAAGAGCAAUAAGACAGAGGCAACAAUAGUUCUGUGCUUAAUCAGUAAGUAACCUUGAUUUCUUUUUUGCUGGUGUAAGUGUGAAUCUGCUGUUUCAUGUAUCAUAAGAUGGUAUUUAUUUAUCUUGGUCUCUGUUCUUACUAAAUCUUUUUUGUGUAUCCAAUACAGUGUUUCUUACUGUUUUGUCUUGUGUUUAGACGGUAGCAGGGGGAAGUAUAAAUGGUCGAUAGUGUCAGUAGCUAAAUAGGAAUGAGGCAGAUUUACAUGUGUAUCCGGAUCUAUUGGUUUAUUCGAUUACCAUAAC
rnacentral:lncRNA from 1 species